rnacentral:rRNA from 1 species
GACGAACGCUGGCGGCGUGCUUAACACAUGCAAGUCGAACGGCAAGGCCCUGCUUUUGUGGGGUGCUCGAGUGGCGAACGGGUGAGUAACACGGGAGUAACCUGCCCUUGACUUUGGGAUAACGUCAGGAAACUGGGGCUAAUACCGGAUAGGAGCUCCUGCUGCAGGGGGGGGGUUGGAAAGUUUCGGCGGUUGGGGAUGGACUCGCGGCUUAUCAGCUUGUUGGUGGGGUAGUGGCUUACCAAGGCUUUGACGGGUAGCCGGCCUGAGAGGGUGACCGGCCACAUUGGGACUGAGAGACGCACCAGACUCCAACGGGAGGCAGCAGGGGGGAAUAUUGCACAAUGAGCGGAAGUCUGAUGCAGCAACGCCGCGUGCGGGAUGACGGCCUUCGGGUUGUAAACCGCUUUCGCCUGUGACGAAGCGGGAGUGACGGUAAUGGGUAAAUAAGCACCGGCUAACUACGUG